AAGUCGUAACAAGGUGUCCGUAGGCGGAAGGAUCAUUAACACGUAUCCAAACGUUAACCCGCGUAGUUUGCAAUCUCUGAUAAAUCAUAGCCCGGAAAGUUGUAGUGAUUCAGAGACCUCUGGCUACGUGCGAACAUUCGAACAGUUACAAUCGAGCGGUAGUUCUAUAGGCAAUGUUUCCCCAAGCAGUCAGUGUCGGAAAGUGUCAUUGAUUGUGCAAGGAUAGCGCUUCUACGAUUCCUGUAGACCGUACACUCGGGCAGGAGCUUUGCCAAAGGGUCCCCAUGCCCCCUAAUAACCCCACAGUUUAAUGUGAAGCUCAAUGUAAUACAUUGGGUAAAAAAACCGAACAACUGUUAACAAUGGAUAUCUUGGUUCUC
rnacentral:misc_RNA from 1 species